rnacentral:tRNA from 1 species
GGGUCGAUGCCCGAGCGGUUAAUGGGGGCGGACUGUAAAUCCGCCGACAACAUAUGUCUACGCUGGUUCAAAUCCAGCUCGGCCCA